UGCAUCAUACACUAAUGAUGUCGGUUAAAUACAAUAAGACAUUAACCAGAAAGAAGAUUCUCUGCAGGGAGAUACCAAAGCAUUUAGUGUAAUUUUAAUUUUAUUAAAAUACCAAAAAUGAUAUCAUUUCACCAAACUUGGUGUUUUUGUGAAUGGUGUUAACCAAAAUUGAGGUCUAUUCAUCACAUAAAAGAUAUAAUUUAAAUGUAACAAAAUGAUUACUUAUGAAUUACAAAUAAUUAAAUUAUA
rnacentral:lncRNA from 1 species